GGGGCCAGAAUCCUCAAGCCUUGCAGAACCUCCAUAGCAGCCAUACACAGCUGUCCUUGCGAUCGGUAGACAUGGAACUCGACACCCAAAAGUAGAGUAGUAGAAGUUCGUCUACUCACCAGGGCUUACAGGCAAUCUGAAGGUGCUACAAGCACAUUGAACACAGACCUCUCCCAGCCUCCUUUCUCUGCUUAGGUUGUGGGCAAAUGGCUCAGGUUCUUGGGUCAUGAGCAGGAACCUGCAGUGUCUAUACAUCUUUGGCCUUGGCUCAGAGGACAGUCCCGACCAAAGCCAUCUGAGGACCUCAACUCAAGGCGAGCAGCUGGACAGCUCUUCCCAGAUGGCAGGACUCAAGGCUUCCCACCUCUUGGUAUGUGAGACAGCACAGAAUGCUGGGGGGCCCUGCCCUCUUUCACCUCACCCAGGCUAUCAGUUCUCUCUGCCUCACUAGGACUCUGUGAGUCAUUCUUGAAUCUGGAAUCCAAGCCUCCUUCCCAUGUUCCUGUCCUCCUUCUGGGGGACCUAGUCUCCUGCUUGUGUCCUGUAGGGUUCUUCUCUUAGGAGACCAGAGACCUUACUAGAGAAGUCUGAGUCUGUUGCUGCCCCCUCUGCAGGCAUCUUGGACACAUCUCCACAGUUCACAUUCCUGGCCUGACUACCAUUUUCACAUCAUGGUCUUUUGCCUCACGCUGAAGCAGAGUACUGUCCUGGUUCCUGCUCUGUGUGCAGAUUCCUUGGCACUGUGGCCUGAAUAGCUUAGUCCUGGGAACCUGGCUGGAAGGACAAGGAAAUGAAGAAAGGACAGACACGUGUCUAGAGAAGCUGGGGUCAGGAGGGCCAUGCUUGCUCUGAUGGACCAGCACCAGCUACACAACACCCUGGACCACCGGUGUGUUUAUUAUGCAUAGCAGGAAGAGCGGUAGUCUCGGUAGGAGGACUUAGUAGGGGAGCUGUCUCCGCUUGUCGUUCUUGGAGAGGAGGAAGCUUGAUCAUAAAUACUCAUACUGG
rnacentral:lncRNA from 1 species